rnacentral:lncRNA from 1 species
UUGCUCAAGUUGGAUGUGUCCACUUCAAAGAGGACAUGAAGACCAGCAUGGGGCAUCCCCUAAGCCUCACAUGGCAUGUGAAAAAGUAGGCGAAAAGUCUUUAAUAGUUAGCGCCUAAUGGAUCUCCUAAAGAAGGUCAAAUAUCUAAGGCUACAAAGAUUCCUAAUACAAGUAGGACUUAUAUUAAGAGGCUAUUUGAUUUUAAAUAGGAUUCAAAUAUUUUAUCUAUUUAAAGAGAUCUUUUUUAAGGCUCUUAUCAUUAGAUUUUUAGCACCUCUCAUGCCUCCUAAGAUCCCCCCA